rnacentral:rRNA from 1 species
UACGUAGGGUGCAAGCGUUGUCCGGAAUUAUUGGGCGUAAAGAGCUCGUAGGCGGUCUGUCGCGUCGGCUGUGAAAACCCGGGGCUCAACCCCGGGCCUGCAGCCGAUACGGGCAAGCUAGAAUUCGGUAGGGGAGACUGGAAUUCCUGGUGUAGCGGUGAAAUGCGCAGAUAUCAGGAGGAACACCGGUGGCGAAGGCGGGUCUCUGGGCCGAAAUUGACGCUGAGGAGCGAAAGCGUGGGGAGCAAACAGG